GGCAGUUCUCAAGUGACACACCCCAGAAUCGGGCUCCCUCCUCUGGUUCCAGGUGCAUCACUCAAGUACCACA
rfam:Myotis lucifugus cont2.16087, whole genome shotgun sequence.